AGCCUUAACCAGUUUCUAAGUGGAGAAGCAUAUUUAAGCCUGGAAGGACUCCUCCAUGAACUUAUUAGGGAGAAAAGAAAAGGAAGAAGUUAAAGAGAGAUUGACUGGUUUUAAGAAAAUGAUUUUCCAGGAUGUCCACAAGUUAGAAAGGAAGAAAGGAAGACUGAGGAAGUUGAAACCAGUAUGAAUUAUUUCAGCAAUAGGCUAUGAAGAUAUGAUUCCUUUGAAGAAACAAAGAGAGAACAGUUGCAUAGGAACCUCAUCAACUAAGACUUAAAAGCCAUGUUUGAAGUUGCAAGCUUAGGGCAAAUAAGUAACAUAAGUUCUCCAACUAUAGUAUCAGAAAUAUGAAACACCAGAAAUGAGCUGAGUUUGAUAGUGAUUGAUAAGGAUAACAGAAGGGUUUUUAAGUGAUGUUUUAGUCAAAAACAAUAAAGCAAAGCAAAAAAGGCAAAGCAAAGUUGUCAGUCAUA